rnacentral:lncRNA from 1 species
AUGCGCAUUGCCAUGGUGACAGCUCCCGGCGGGCGGGCCACCAUGGCAGCUCCUCACACAGCAGCCGUUGGAGCCCCACACGCGGGACAUGGAACCACCUCACCUCACUUCAGCCAGGACCCCAAGCCAUUCUCCCCUCUGUCUUGUGGCCGCAGGCACCAAGGCCUGGCAGCACUCCCAGCACUGUCAGGCACAGUUUCAGGACCACUGACCUCUGGCAAGAAGUGUUCAAUCAAAGCACAGAACGGGCAUUUGGGGAAGGCAAUUUGGGAAAUUUGUUUACUUCUGUACAUGCCGUAUGUAGGUGGGAACAGUUUUCUCCAGAGUUGCCAGAGGGACAUCAAGAGCACACAUAGGGGUUUGCCAAGUGGUGGCUAUUUAGUUGCUCACUGUUUUCACUGUUGGGUGAUCAAAAAAGUGAAUGAUAGUGAAUUUGUUCUUUCCACAACUGAUAAGAGAAGCCAUCAACAGUUUCAUGUUUCAGAGAAAAGUGAAACCCACAAGCAGGCUGGGAAAGGUAAAGCAAAAGUGAUACCAGAGCCCGGAGCAGCUAGAACACUUUGAGAUUUUCUACAUGAUCUAUUUCUCUUCUCCCUGCUCCCAGAGGGAUACUUUUGCUGGAGAAUGUGCUUCUUUAGAAACGUGUCAUUACGCUGUCUUAAUGAAGAAAUGUAAUACAAUGAAAGAAUGUUUUGCUUUGAAAUUUUUGUUGAUCACUUCCUUUUGAAACCAAUGAGACACAUUUGAAAAUACAGUUGUUAAUAUUUUAAUAACAUGAUAUACUGUGAACUACAUCAAGAAAGUAUUAAAAGGUCAAUUUAUAAGAAUACAGCAGAAUAACACUAAUAAGUACUAAAAUGAACUCAUGUUUCACCGUUUUUAUCAGAAAGCAGAAAAUAAAGAAAAAUAUAUGAUUUAUUCA